rnacentral:rRNA from 1 species
GGCUCACCUAGGCGACGAUCCCUAGCUGGUCUGAGAGGAUGACCAGCCACACUGGAACUGAGACACGGUCCAGACUCCUACGGGAGGCAGCAGUGGGGAAUAUUGCACAAUGGGCGCAAGCCUGAUGCAGCCAUGCCGCGUGUGUGAAGAAGGCCUUCGGGUUGUAAAGCACUUUCAGCGGGGAGGAAGGCGUUAAGGUUAAUAACCUUGGCGAUUGACGUUACCCGCAGAAGAAGCACCGGCUAACUCCGUGCCAGCAGCCGCGGUAAUACGGAGGGUGCAAGCGUUAAUCGGAAUUACUGGGCGUAAAGCGCACGCAGGCGGUCUGUCAAGUCGGAUGUGAAA